rnacentral:lncRNA from 10 species
AAAAGGGGAGUUUCCCUGCACAAGCUUCUCUCUCUUUGCUUGCUGCCAUUCUACUUAAGAUGUGACCUGCUCCUCCUUGCUUUCUGCCAUGAUUAUGAGGCCUCCCCAUCCAUGUGGAACUAACACUUCAGUUAUGGAAGAUCAAAAUGAAGAUGAGUCCCCAAAGAAAAAUACUCUUUGGCAGAUAAGUAAUGGAACAUCAUCUGUGAUCGUCUCCAGAAAGAGGCCAUCAGAAGGAAACUAUCAAAAAGAAAAAGACUUGUGUAUUAAAUAUUUUGACCAGUGGUCUGAAUCAGAUCAAGUGGAAUUU